UACGUAGGGGGCAAGCGUUGUCCGGAUUUAUUGGGCGUAAAGAGCGUGUAGGCGGCCUGACAGGUCUGCUGUGAAAACUCGAGGCUCAACCUCGAGAUGUCGGCGGAAACCAUCUGGCUAGAGUCCGGAAGAGGAGAGUGGAAUUCCUGGUGUAGCGGUGAAAUGCGCAGAUAUCAGGAAGAACACCCGUGGCGAAGGCGGGCUCUCUGGGACGGUACUGACGCUGAGACGCGAAAGCGUGGGGAGCGAACAGG
rnacentral:rRNA from 1 species